AGAGUUUGAUCAUGGCUCAGGACGAACGCUGGCGGCGUGCUUAACACAUGCAAGUCGAACGAUGAACCACUUCGGUGGGGAUUAGUGGCGAACGGGUGAGUAACACGUGGGCAAUCUGCCCUGCACUCUGGGACAAGCCCUGGAAACGGGGUCUAAUACCGGAUACUGACCCGCUUGGGCAUCCAAGCGGUUCGAAAGCUCCGGUGGUGCAGGAUGAGCCCGCGGCCUAUCAGCUUGUUGGUGAGGUAAUGGCUCACCAAGGCGACGACGGGUAGCCGGCCUGAGAGGGCGACCGGCCACACUGGGACUGAGACACGGCCCAGACUCCUACGGGAGGCAGCAGUGGGGAAUAUUGCACAAUGGGCGAAAGCCUGAUGCAGCGACGCCGCGUGAGGGAUGACGGCCUUCGGGUUGUAAACCUCUUUCAGCAGGGAAGAAGCGAAAGUGACGGUACCUGCAGAAGAAGCGCCGGCUAACUACGUGCCAGCAGCCGCGGUAAUACGUAGGGCGCGAGCGUUGUCCGGAAUUAUUGGGCGUAAAGAGCUCGUAGGCGGCUUGUCACGUCGGUUGUGAAAGCCCGGGGCUUAACCCCGGGUCUGCAGUCGAUACGGGCAGGCUAGAGUUCGGUAGGGGAGAUCGGAAUUCCUGGUGUAGCGGUGAAAUG
rnacentral:rRNA from 1 species